UGAAUUUGGACAUUUGGCACCGGUCAUAUUUUACUCUGGGUAUUUUUCUGCCGACAUAGACUUGAUAGAAUUUAUAUUUUAUACGAAAUAACAUGCACUAACUGACUGGCCGAUUCAUCAUCGCCUAGCCGGAACCGCAAUGCUAUGAGUAUGAAAUUUGGUUAUAGUUUCGUUUUAUGAUAUAGAGACCCAGUAAAAAAGUUUUGUCCA